AGCCACGGGGUCCAGGGCCUGGAGACAAGCCUUUCUCAGCCACUUAUCCCCUUAUAAGUCUUUAUGGGUUGCAGCAAGUGGGGUUGAGGUCAAGGCAGAGAGGACCUAAGGGAGGCGGAGUCUGUCUUGAUGGUAAAUCUGGGCCUACAGGCCUUCUGUGUACCCAGUGCCCCAGGGGCCCCCUCACAGCCCUGCUGGAACCCCACUGGGUGAACUCAUCUGUUUGCUUGCUGUCUUCCCAGCUAGGAGGACUGGGGGAAGGGACCUGCCUGGCUGGCAAGCGUCAGGUGCUCAACCAUGUUGAAUAAGUAGAUGCACCGAGGGAGGAGGCCAGCGCCUGUUGCACUGGAGAAAGAACUGUUCGGUCUGAGCUUGAGGAUCUGAGGAACAGGGCCUGCCACAGGCCGGAGCUUCCAAGUGGAAGUCGAGGGGGUGCCCCAAGAAGGGUCAGAAGAAAAGAGGGUCCAGAGCCAGGCAUCACUCACCAGUUAUAUGACCUUCUGCAAGAGGCUGCCCUCCCCCGCAGACAGUUCACUCAUAGGUCAGUGAUGUCACUUCUCAGAGACACAAUGAGGCUGGAACAAGAGGUCCUGUGUGAAAGAUCUCGUGAACUCUCUACGCUCAUACUCCAUGAGGGUGGAAUGUUCUCCUUGUGAAAGUCCUUCCUGGCACCGGGCCAUAGUCUUUCCUGUUGCAAGACUGCCCUUCUUGGGCUCCAAUCAAAGCUUGCAACUUUGUAAAAGGUAAGUAAAGAUGCUGAUAAUAAUAUAAACUCUAAGGGAAAUA
rnacentral:lncRNA from 1 species